UCAAGAAACUUCCACAAUGGGCGAAAGCCUGAUGGAGCGACGUCGCGUGAUGGACGAAGUGCUUCGGCACGUAAACAUCUUUUAUGUGGGAUGAAAUUAUUGACAGUACCACAUGAAUAAGGGGCUCCUAACUCUGUGCCAGCAGGAGCGGUAAUACAGAGGCCCCAAGCGUUAUCCGGAAUCACUGGGCGUAAAGGGCGCGUAGGCGGUGUGUCAAGUCAGUUGUGAAAUCUCCGAGCUUAACUCGGAACGGUCAACUGAUACUGUCACACUAGAGUACAGAAGGGGCAAUCGGAAUUCUUGGUGUAGCGGUGAAAUGCGUAGAUAUCAAGAGGAACACCUGAGGUGAAGACGGGUUGCUGGGCUGACACUGACGCUGAGGCGCGAAAGCCAGGGGAGCAAACGGGAUUAGAUACCCCCGUAGUCCCUGAGCGGGCUGGCAAGGCGCAU
rnacentral:rRNA from 1 species